ensembl:misc_RNA Metazoa_SRP Metazoan signal recognition particle RNA
GCUGGGCGCGGUGGCGCGUGCCUGUAGUCCCGGCUACUCGGGAGGCUGAGGUGGGAGGAUCGCUUGAGUCCAGCAGUUCUGGGCUGUAGUGCGCUGUGCCGAUCGGGUAUCUGCACUAAGUUCGGUAUCAAUAUGGUGACCUCCCGGGACCACCAGGUUGCCUAAGGAGGGGUGAACCGGCCCGGGUUGGAAACGGAGCAGGUCAAAACUUCCGCGCUGAUCAGUAGCGGGAUGGCGCCUGUGACUAGCCACUGCACUCCAGCCUGGGCAACAUAGCGAGACCUCAUCUCUA